rnacentral:rRNA from 1 species
AGGGUUUGAUCAUGGCUCAGAUUGAACGCUGGCGGCAGGCCUAACACAUGCAAGUCGAGCGAGAAAGCACUUCGGUGCGAGUACAGCGGCGGACGGGUGAGUAACGCGUAGGAAUCUACCUGGUAGUGGGGGACAACAUGUGGAAACGCAUGCUAAUACCGCAUACGCCCUAUGGGGGAAAGUGGGGGACCUUCGGGCCUCACGCUAUCGGAUGAGCCUGCGUAAGAUUAGCUAGUUGGUGGGGUAAAGGCUCACCAAGGCGACGAUCUUUAGCUGGUCUGAGAGGAUGAUCAGCCACACUGGGACUGAGACACGGCCCAGACUCCUACGGGAGGCAGCAGUGGGGAAUAUUGCGCAAUGGAGGCAACUCUGACGCAGCCAUGCCGCGUGUGUGAAGAAGGCCUUAGGGUUGUAAAGCACUUUCAAUUGGGAGGAAAGGUUGCAGGUUAAUAGCCUGUAACUGUGACGUUACCUUUAGAAGAAGCACCGGCUAACUCCGUGCCAGCAGCCGCGGUAAUACGGAGGGUGCGAGCGUUAAUCGGAAUUACUGGGCGUAAAGCGCGCGUAGGCGGUUGAUUAAGUCGGAUGUGAAAGCCCUGGGCUCAACCUGGGAACUGCAUUCGAUACUGGUCAACUAGAGUACGAGAGAGGGAGGUAGAAUUCCACGUGUAGCGGUGAAAUGCGUAGAUAUGUGGAGGAAUACCGGUGGCGAAGGCGGCCUCCUGGCUCGAUACUGACGCUGAGGUGCGAAAGCGUG